rnacentral:lncRNA from 1 species
GCAUGGAGGGCUGAUUCUUGUUUGCCAGCACAUUCCGGUUUCUAUGCUUGUGGGCCUGCAGGCUUUCUGCGACUUGUGGCUCUUGUGCAUGGUCUAUGGGUUUGAUUGCUUCCGCUCGGUCCCGGUCGACGCUGGUGUUGGCUUCAUGUGCUUUCUCCGCUGGUGAUGUUGCCGGGGUGCCUCGCCUAGUGUUUCUGUCGUGCUCUUCAGGCCGGUCUCUGGGAUUCCUCGAUGUAGCACCUAUGUGUGCACCAUCAAUAUCUUCAUCCGGGUCGCGGGGGGGAGCGCGGUGGGCGCCGGACCUCUCUCCUUUCGGUCUGGGAGGCUUGUCCGUUCUUGGGGGGUUGAGCACAGUAGGAGGGCGCCUGUACGCUGGAGAUCGGAAGAGC